rnacentral:rRNA from 1 species
CGUAGGGUGCGAGCGUUAAUCGGAAUUACUGGGCGUAAAGCGUGCGCAGGCGGUUUUGUAAGACAGAUGUGAAAUCCCCGGGCUCAACCUGGGACCUGCAUUUGUGACUGCAAGGCUAGAGUACGGUAGAGGGGGAUGGAAUUCCGCGUGUAGCAGUGAAAUGCGUAGAUAUGCGGAGGAACACCGAUGGCGAAGGCAAUCCCCUGGACCUGUACUGACGCUCAUGCACGAAAGCGUGGGGAGCAAACAGGAUUAGAUACCCUGGUAGUCCACGCCCUAAACGAUGUCAACUGGUUGUGGGUCUUUACUGACUCAGUAACGAAGCUAACGCGUGAAGUUGACCGCCUGGGGAGUACGGCCGCAAGGUUG